rnacentral:lncRNA from 1 species
CGAGCUUUAUCUUAAGUUCGGUGCUGGGCUAGGCCUUCAUUACUGUCGUUGUGCUCCUCACGCUCACUGCAUGCAACUCACUACACUGUUCAAAAUUAUCAUUUUGGCUCUUUAUAAAAUUGUUUAUUCUAACUGAACGUGCACAUUGUGUCCAAUUUAUAUUAACAAAGACAUCGUUACCAUUUACUCCAAGAUCAACACCAAGAGGGGCAAUGUCUUCAAGAGUAGAAAGAGAGAAAUGAGGACCACUGACUGAUGAGGGAAUUGUCUUGCUGAGAUGAGGAUGAGCCUGCCUCAAGCCAUCGUAAGCUGGGAGGACCGACGAUGGACUGACACCGCCUGCUGGCCUGGCCAUUACUGAUUCUUGAGGACAUGAGGACCACCAAGCUUGGACGAGCCUGGACAAUGACGAAGCUGCUCUACUGGACAAGGAUGCCCUCGUCGGAAACUUGAGUUAAAAAAAAAACUAGCUUGCACAAUAUGAAAUGAUAAAUCAUAUACACUAAGGCAACAGCACUAAAAUAAAAUGAAAAGUAAUUUUGAUUUCAUUAAAUUAUUUAUGCCUCUAAAAUAAUCUUAAACUGGAUACUGCAACAGACAGUUAACAAUGGACAAUAAUGGAAACUUGCUGAAAAAUUAUUGUAAGGGUAAUAAUUGGUCACUGGCUUUUAAGCAGUGACAUGUCUGGGAGAAGGGGUAUUCCUUUGAUCGGUCCUGGGUCAUCCAAAAUUAUUGCUUCAAUUAGUUAAUAAUUUCAUACUCCUUAUCUUUAAUGCGUUCGAUUGGAUCUUCUCGGUAAAUUAUAAAUGAGGUAUCGCCUAAGGUUUUCUAUCUGCUUUUUGUUCAGUUGACAAUGGAGAAUUUUGCUCUAUAAAUUUAAUUUGAUAUUGAAAGUGCAUAUUUUAGAAAACCAAUUUAAGUCAUAAGAGUUUUGAAAGAUUUCAAAAAGGAUUAAUUUAUUGUUUAAAAACUGAAGAAAUGUAACUUUAUUUAAAUUUAACGUCAUUAACAAGACGUCAGUUUAACUAAAACGUGACUUUUUUCCAUUGUAUGUUUAUAAGAAAACACAAGAACGUUUAAUUUUUAGGAAAAUUUAAAGAAUAAACUGUUCAGGAACUUCUAUCCAUCAAAAUGCAUUGCAACAGGUAUAAGUGACACUCAAAUUACAUUUGUGUUUGUCCUUUUGUGAUUUAUUUCAUUGUACUUUUUUACUUGUUAUUUUUUUAAUUCGUAUGCACAAUUGUUUUUCUUGGUGGUUUUGCAUGUCUUUUCAUUUUCUUAUUAAUAAUUAACUAACCUCACAAAAGGA